rnacentral:rRNA from 1 species
GAUGUCUACUUGGAGGUUGUGGCCUUGAGCCGUGGCUUUCGGAGCUAACGCGUUAAGUAGACCGCCUGGGGAGUACGGUCGCAAGAUUAAAACUCAAAUGAAUUGACGGGGGCCCGCACAAGCGGUGGAGCAUGUGGUUUAAUUCGAUGCAACGCGAAGAACCUUACCUACUCUUGACAUCCAGAGAAGCCAGUGGAGACGCAGGUGUGCCUUCGGGAGCUCUGAGACAGGUGCUGCAUGGCUGUCGUCAGCUCGUGUUGUGAAAUGUUGGGUUAAGUCCCGCAACGAGCGCAACCCUUAUCCUUGUUUGCCAGCGAGUAAUGUCGGGAACUCCAGGGAGACUGCCGGUGAUAAACCGGAGGAAGGUGGGGACGACGUCAAGUCAUCAUGGCCCUUACGAGUAGGGCUACACACGUGCUACAAUGGCGCAUACAGAGGGCAGCAA